rnacentral:ncRNA from 2 species
UUCAAGUAAUCUAGGAUAGGCU